CGAGUCUGAAUAGGGCGAUAGUCGCUGGGAGUAGACCCGAAACCGGGCGAUCUAGCCAUGUGCAGGAUGAAGGUUGGGUAACACCAACUGGAGGUCCGAACCGGGUAAUGUUGAAAAAUUAUCGGAUGACGUGUGGCUAGGAGUGAAAGGCUAAUCAAGCCCGGAGAUAGCUGGUUCUCCCCGAAAGCUAUUUAGGUAGCGCCUCGUGAAUGAUUACUGGGGGUAGAGCACUGUUUCGGCUAGGGGGCUGUCAUGGCUUACCAAACCGAUGCAAACUCCGAAUACCGGCUAAUUGAAUCACGGGAGACACACGGCGGGUGCUAACGUCCGUCGUGGAGAGGGAAACAACCCAGACCGCCAGCUAAGGUCCCCAAGUACUAGUUAAGUGGGAAACGAUGUGGGAAGGCAUAGACAGCCAGGAGGUUGGCUUAGAAGCAGCCACCCUUUAAAGAAAGCGUAAUAGCUCACUGGUCGAGUCGGCCUGCGCGGAAGAUGUAACGGGGCUAAAACUAGUCACCGAAGCUGCGGAUGUGCGCGAAGGCGCACGUGGUAGGGGAGCGUUCUGUAGGCUGAUGAAGGUGCAUUGAGAAGUGUGCUGGAGGUAUCAGAAGUGCGAAUGCUGACAUGAGUAACGAUAAUGUGGGUGAAAAGCCCACACGCCGGAAGUCCCAGGUUUCCUGCACGACGUUAAUCGGAGCAGGGUGAGUCGGCCCCUAAGGCGAGGCUGAAGAGCGUAGUCGAUGGGAACCAGGUUAAUAUUCCUGGACUUUUUAUAAGUGGUGAAGUGGGGACGAAGAAGGCUAGGUGAGCCAGGCGUUGGUUGUCCUGGUACUUGCAUGUAGGGGGGAAGACUUGGCAAAUCCGGUUUUCCAUAACUCUGAGGUGCGAAGUGGUUCUGACCUUUUGGUACAGAGAAGUCAUUGAUGCCCGGCUUCCAGGAAAAGCUGCUAGCCAUAACUUAUAGAGAACCGUACCGCAAACCGACACAGGUGGACAGGUAGAGAAUACUAAGGCGCUUGAGAGAACUCGGGUGAAGGAACUAGGCAAAAUGGUACCGUAACUUCGGGAGAAGGUACGCCCUUUCUGGUGAUGGGAUUUACUUUCAGAGCUGGAGAGGGCCGCAGAGACCAGGUGGCUGCGACUGUUUAUUAAAAACACAGCACUCUGCAAAUUCGUAAGAAGACGUAUAGGGUGUGACGCCUGCCCGGUGCCGGAAGGUUAAUUGAUGGGGUUAUCUUCGGAGAAGCUCUUGAUCGAAGCCCCGGUAAACGGCGGCCGUAACUAUAACGGUCCUAAGGUAGCGAAAUUCCUUGUCGGGUAAGUUCCGACCUGCACGAAUGGCGUAACGAUGGCCACACUGUCUCCACCCGAGACUCAGUGAAAUUGAAAUCGCUGUGAAGAUGCAGUGUACCCGCGGCUAGACGGAAAGACCCCGUGAACCUUUACUAUAGUUUUGCACUGGACUUUGAUGAUGACUGUGUAGGAUAGGUGGGAGGCUGUGAAGUGAGGACGCUAGUUCUCAUGGAGCCGCCCUUGAAAUACCACCCUGUUGUUAUUGAGGUUCUAACUUGGUCCAGUAAUCCUGGAUGAGGACAGUGUAUGAUGGGUAGUUUGACUGGGGCGGUCUCCUCCCAAAGAGUAACGGAGGAGCACAAAGGUACCCUCGGUACGGUCGGACAUCGUACCAAGAGUGUAAAGGCAAAAGGGUGCUUGACUGCGAGAGUGACGGCUCGAGCAGGAACGAAAGUUGGUCUUAGUGAUCCGGUGGUUCUGAAUGGAAGGGCCAUCGCUCAACGGAUAAAAGGUACUCCGGGGAUAACAGGCUGAUACCGCCCAAGAGUUCAUAUCGACGGCGGUGUUUGGCACCUCGAUGUCGGCUCAUCACAUCCUGGGGCUGAAGCAGGUCCCAAGGGUAUGGCUGUUCGCCAUUUAAAGUGGUACGCGAGCUGGGUUUAGAACGUCGUGAGACAGUUCGGUCCCUAUCUGCCGUGGGCGUAGGAAAAUUGAGAGGAGCUGCUCCUAGUACGAGAGGACCGGAGUGGACGAACCUCUGGUGCACCGGUUGUCACGCCAGUGGCAUGGCCGGGUAGCUAAGUUCGGACGGGAUAACCGCUGAAAGCAUCUAAGCGGGAAGCCUCCCUCAAGAUGAGUUUUCCCAUGAAGCCCGUUGAAGACUACGACGUUGAUAGGCAAGGUGUGGAAGCGCAGUAAUGCGUGAAGCUAACUUGUACUAAUUGGCUGAUUGUCUUGACCAU
rnacentral:rRNA from 1 species